rnacentral:rRNA from 1 species
AGCGGCGAACGGGUGAGUAACACGUGGGCAACCUGCCCUCAGCUCUGGGAUAACUCCAAGAAAUUGGUGCUAAUACCGGAUGUGACCGCUGACCGCAUGGUCUGGUGGUGGAAAGAUUCAUCGGCUGAGGAUGGGCCCGCGGCCUAUCAGCUUGUUGGUGGGGUGAUGGCCUACCAAGGCGACGACGGGUAGCCGGCCUGAGAGGGUGACCGGCCACACUGGGACUGAGACACGGCCCAGACUCCUACGGGAGGCAGCAGUGGGGAAUAUUGCGCAAUGGGCGGAAGCCUGACGCAGCGACGCCGCGUGGGGGAUGACGGCCUUCGGGUUGUAAACCUCUUUCAGCAGGGACGAAGCGGAAGUGACGGUACCUGCAGAAGAAGCACCGGCCAACUACGUGCCAGCAGCCGCGGUAAUACGUAGGGUGCAAGCGUUGUCCGGAAUUAUUGGGCGUAAAGAGCUCGUAGGCGGUCUGUCGCGUCGGCUGUGAAAACCCGAGGCUCAACCUCGGGCCUGCAGUCGAUACGGGCAAACUAGAGUGUUGCAGGGGAGACUGGAAUUCCUGGUGUAGCGGUGAAAUGCGCAGAUAUCAGGAGGAACACCGGUGGCGAAGGCGGGUCUCUGGGCAACAACUGACGCUG